GCUUCGGUAGUGUAAUUGAUCAGUACGGCAGACCGGACAUCUGUAAGUGCGGGUUCAAGUUCCGCCUGAGGUG
rfam:Dictyocaulus viviparus strain HannoverDv2000 D_viviparus-1.0_Cont682.1, whole genome shotgun sequence.